rnacentral:rRNA from 1 species
UGGGGAAUAUUGCACAAUGGAGGGAACUCUGAUGCAGCAACGCCGCGUGCGGGAUGACGGCCUUCGGGUUGUAAACCGCUUUCAGCCAUGACGAAGCUUUUGUGACGGUAGUGGUAGAAGAAGCACCGGCUAACUACGUGCCAGCAGCCGCGGUAAUACGUAGGGGGCUAGCGUUGUCCGGAAUCACUGGGCGUAAAGGGUUCGCAGGCGGAAAUGCAAGUCAGGUGUAAAAGGCAGUAGCUUAACUACUGUAAGCAUUUGAAACUGCAUAUCUUGAGAAGAGUAGAGGUAAGUGGAAUUUUUAGUGUAGCGGUGAAAUGCGUAGAUAUUAAAAAGAAUACCGGUGGCGAAGGCGACUUACUGGGCUCAUUCUGACGCUGAGGAACGAAAGCGUGGGUAGCAAACAGG